rnacentral:lncRNA from 1 species
UUAAAUUACAUACAAUAUGGAUCUACAAUAUGAAAGAUACAAUAUAAAAAACUAGACGCCGAACAUACAAAAGUUUAAGUGAAAUUAGAUAAUUUAAAAUAAACCAAUAUAUCAAAAGAUCUAUGUUGUAUCAAAAUAAAACGAAAUACUUCUUCAAACGAUCUAAACAAUGGUUUUAUAAAAUUUAGUCAGUAAAGUUGAAUCUCUUUACAAUAAAUAAGUCUAACGAUGAUAAAAACUAAAGAUCAGCCACAAAAUGACGAUUUUAUACAUAAAAUAUAGAAUCUAGAGAUUGAAUAAGUAUAACUCGCUUAUUAUUAACCUGAGAAAAUCACUCAAAACUCAAGUCCUCAAACUCUAAAUCCUCACAAGCUAUGUCACAACUUGACAUCUUCUUAUAUAGGACUUAUAAUAUCCUAAUCCUAUUAGGUAACAUAAUUAGAUAACUCCUAAACACUUUAUGUUUCCUAUUUUCCAUAUCUCGGUAGGAUUAGGUCUCAGACUUCCUUCUCAAGCUUUCUUAUCCUUCAAGCUUAUUUCAACAUUCUCCCCCUUAAGCUUGAACUUCAUCUUCGAAAGAUCUUGCACUCCAAUGAGAUCUCUCAUCUCUAAGAAUUUGACUCGCCCCAGUGGUUUGGUCAGGAUAUCCGCUCUCUGCUCGGUUCCAGGCACGUGCUCCACUUCUAUCAUUCCUUUCUCAACACACUCACGUAUGAAAUGAAAUCUAGUGUGAAUAUGCUUACUGCGACCGUGAAAGACGGGGUUCUUCGUAAGAGCGAUGGCUGAUUGAUUAUCAAUUCGAAUGAGCACCUUUUCACAGGCUUCUUCGUUUAUCUCCUCUAGCAGGUCGUGGAGCCAUAUUGCCUGCCGUGCAGCCUCCGUUCCUGCCAUAAAUUCUGCCUCACAAGACGAUAGAGCCACAGUUUCCUGUUUUGUUGAUGCCCAAGUGAUCGGACAUUCUCCCAAGUAGAAAACAUGACCCGUGGUGCUUUUGCCGUCGUCUGGAUCCACGUUGUGGCUACUGUCACUGUAGCCAACGAGUCUUGUUGGUUUCUCUGUGUGCGUGUUUUUGAAGUUCAGUCCAUACUCUGUGGUGCCUUUCAAGUAUCUUAGACACUGCUUCAUUGCCACUCCGUGCGAUUCCUUAGGAUCCUGCAUGAAUCUACUUAACACACCAACAGCGUAAGAAAGGUCGGGACGGGUGUGAAGAAGAUAGCGCAGACAGCCGAUCUUCUUUCUAUAGUCCGUUGCAUCGAUUGACCUUUCUUCCUCUGACUUUGAAAGCUUAGAGCCAGAUUCCAUAGGUGUUUGAACCGGGUUACAAGCUUUCAUACCUGCAUCCUCGAGAAUCUUCAUCGCGUAUCUCCUUUGGCUCAAUGCGACUCCUUCUUGGUGUUGAGUUACUUCUAUCCCAAGGUAGUAUGUUAACUCACCAAGGUCGCUCAUAUCAAAUUUCUCGGCCAUCUCUUUUUUGAACUCGUAGAUGAGCUCAACGUCUGAUCCUGUCACAAACAGGUCGUCGACAUAAACAGCGACAAUGAGAAGCUUACCACAAACUCUCUUGCGGUAUACUGAAGGUUCUUUUGUGCAUUUUCGGAACUUGAGCUCGAUGAGUAUUGCGUUGAGUUUGUUGUUCCAUGCACGCGGUGCCUGUCUCAAGCCAUAAAGUGCCUUGUGUAACUUGUAAACCUUGUUCUCGGAUCCCUUAACUUCGAACCCUUCUGGUUGAGAUACGUAGACGGUUUCCUUUAACUCCCCGUGCAAGAAGGCCGUUUUUACAUCAAGAUGGUGUAUAAUCCAUCGAUUCAAUGCUGCUAAGUUGAUGAGAAGUCGGAUUGUCUCAAUCCUUGCCACCGGUGCAAAGACUUCAUCGAAGUCUACUCCAUGUUGCUGAACAUAACCCUUCGCUACCAGUCUUGCUUUGUGCUUCUUAAUGCUUCCAUCUGAAUUUCGUUUCAACUUAAAUACCCACUUCAAGCCAAUUGCUUUUGCCCCUUGAGGAAGCUCCACUAAUGUCCAGGUUUCGUUCUCAACGAUCGAACAUAUCUCGUCCUCGCACGCAAGAGUCCAUUCCCUCGAACCCUUUGCUUCCCUGAAACUACUUGGUUCAUUGUUUAGGACCAUGAGUAGAGUAUCUCCUUCCUCUUCUGCAAGAAACAACAUGUAAUCAUCAAGAUAUUUUGGUUUGUUGCUUUGCCUCUCCGAUCUCCUUAGCAUAAUUUCUGCUCCUUCUUCAACUUCUUGGCUUUCAGUCGCAUCUUGUGGUGUGUCUGUGACAUGAUCAGUAGGUUCGACGACAUUAAUAUCUUCAUCCUCCACGUUUGUAGCUUCCAUAACAUCUCCAUGUAUCCCAUGGUUGCCGUAGGUUCCAAGAGAGAUUCUUAGAGCUCCAGUAUCAUCUUGUGACAUUUGCUCUUGGCUCCAGUUCCACCCUUUUGUUUCAUCAAAGACUACGUCCCUGCUCACUACUAUCUUCUGAGCUUGUGGAUCGAACAUUCGAUAAGCUUUUGAUCCUGGUUCUGUCCCUAAGUGAACAAGCAUCUGCGAUCGAUCAUCGAGUUUCCUUAGGUGUGGUUUCACCGUUCUGGCAUAACCUAUGCAUCCAAAGAUUCGUAUGUGAGAGAUAUUAGGCUUGGACCCUCGAAACAUCUCGUACGGUGUCUUCUCCUUAAGCACCCUUGUCGCGACUCGAUUAAGCAAAUAUGUCGUGUGCCUAAUUGCCUCUCCCCACAGAUAGUUUGGAACCUUCAUGUGUUUGAGCAUGCUCCUCGUCAUCUCCAUCAUAGUCCUGUUGCGUCUUUCGACCACGCCGUUUUGUUGUGGCGUGUAUGGCGCUGUAAGGUGUCGUUUGAUUCCAGCAUCCUCGCAGUAUGUAUUGAACUCGUGGGAAACAAAUUCUCCUCCUCUAUCACUUCUGAAUGUUUGUAUCUUCUGUCCCGAGUCUUGCUCUACCAGUGCUCGAAACUUCUUGAAUUUCUCAAAAGCUUCGCUUUUCUCUUUCAACAAUAUCGUCCACAUAUAACGAGAAUGAUCAUCGAUGAGCACAAAAACAUACUUGUUUCCAGGACGUGUAGUUGGUGAUAUUGGUCCACAUAGAUCACCAUGGAUAAGUUCAAGAACCUUCUCUGCCCUAUAAGAAGUCGCUUGAGGGAAGGUAUUCCUUGUUUGUUUGCCAAGCAAGCAAGAACCGCAUAUCCCUUUAUCGAAACUGAGAUGAGGUAAUCCGACUACAAGUUCCUUCUGCACCAUGGAUUUGAUUGUAUCCAUGUUUAUGUGUCCUAAUCUGGCGUGCCAUCUGCUUGAUUCGCUGGUUGUUGUAGAUAGUAAGCAUAUGUUGUCUUUUACUCCCAUUCGAACCUUGUACAAACGAUUCCUCUGUCUUGUUGCAGAGACAAGUAGUUUACCGUCCUGAUCGUGCAUUGUCAAGGUUUCCCCUCUUAAUCUUAUAUCGCACCCAGCUUCAGUAGCCUGUCCAAGGCUAAUAAUAUUACUUCUAAGCUCAGGGAUAUAGUAUACGUCACACAUUACCCUCGUCUCUCCGUUGCGAUCAAUGAACUCAAUCGAACCUUUUCCUCUGAUAUCAAUCCUAGAGUCAUCUCCAAACUUAACUUUUCCUGUUAUAGACUCAUUGAUCCUUUUAAAAUAUCUCCUGUCACCAGUCAUGUGGUUACUGGCUCCAUUGUCUAAGUACCACAUGUCAUCCUCUCCUGUAUUGAGCUCGUAUUUGUUUAGCAUUACCUUUUCUUCGUUUAGGUAAACGACUUCGUUUAACAUGAGUUCAUCUGCAUCUUGUGUAGAGUCUUUAUCAUGCUCUUGCGCCUCCUGAAGCUUGAGAAGACGAUCCGGACAUGUAGAGGCAUAGUGUCCCAUCUUGUCGCAUCUGAAACACGUUAUUCUCGACGUGUCUCUACCUCCGUUAUUGCGACCACCUCGGCCUCUUCCCCUGUAGGAACGUCCCCUUCCUCGAUACCCUCUGUAAUCAUCUUGAUAGUCACGGUUUGACUGUUGCUCUGUAUUGGAAUACAUUAACUUGCUCUGUUCUUCUUGAUUAUCAUCUUCAUCUUGGACACGUUCUUCGUAAGCUUUAAGUCGACCCACAAUAUCUUCAAAAGCCGUGUUCUUGAGGUCCAAGACUUGUUCGAGAGAUGCCACUAUGUGAAUAUACUUUUUGCGAGGAAGACUUUUCAGAAAUUUCUUGACAAGUUUAGAUUCUUCAAUCUCUUCUCCUAGGGCAGAGGAUUUUGAAGAAAUUUCAGAAAGCUUGUCGGCAAAGUCAUCUAUCUUCUCUGUCUCCUUCAUCUUUAAUUUAUCAAAUUCUGUCAUUAGGGUUUGUAGUCUGGCUUCUCUCACUCUUUCGGCACCAACGUAUCGAGCUUUGAUAGCAUCCCAAACCUUUUUCGCCGUGUCUAACUCCCCAACCUGUAGUACUAAGGCCUCGGGUAUCGCCUGAAACAACAGAGCAGUUGCCAUGUCGUUUUUAUCAUCGUUUUUGUCGUCGUCCUCUGUUGCUGUCUCAACAAUGCUCCAUACCUUAUGAACUCGCAGGAUGUUUUUCAUUCGAAUAGCCCAGACGGUAUAGUUCGUCGAGGUCAGCAUUGGACACUUGAUUGAGGAUUGCUCUCCCUCCUUCGGUUUUGCUGACGUUAUGAUUGUAAGAUCUCCCAUUCUCAGCUUUCCUUAUGUCGAUCAAACAGAUGUUGAUUUCGUAAGGCUCUGAUACCAAAUAUAGAAUCUAGAGAUUGAAUAAGUAUAACUCGCUUAUUAUUAACCUGAGAAAAUCACUCAAAACUCAAGUCCUCAAACUCUAAAUCCUCACAAGCUAUGUCACAACUUGACAUCUUCUUAUAUAGGACUUAUAAUAUCCUAAUCCUAUUAGGUAACAUAAUUAGAUAACUCCUAAACACUUUAUGUUUCCUAUUUUCCAUAUCUCGGUAGGAUUAGGUCUCAGACUUCCUUCUCAAGCUUUCUUAUCCUUCAAGCUUAUUUCAACAUAAAAUAAAACCAAGCUCUUUUACCAAAAAAUAAAAUAAAACCAAGCUCUUCAAAUUAAAAAAAAAAUUCUUAACAACAAAUUUAACUAAAAAAAGUGGACCAACCCCUAGUAACAUAUAUAUAUAUAUCAUAUAUUUGUCAAAUAUAUUUAGUUUGAAAUUAUAAAUCUAAAUUUCAGAAAAGACGAUCAUAAAUAACACCCUUAAUAUAAUAAAAAUUAUACUGUAGAAGGGAAAUGUUAGUUAAAACAAAUGGGUAAAUAUACAAAAAGUGUUUGGAGGAGGGAAAUUAUUUUCUUGUGAUAUAAAAUUCUGUGAUAUUGGAGGAGGGAAAUUAGAGCGAUGGACCAAUGAAUAGGGUGGCAGAAAACGCAGAAAUAUAGGUAUGGAUCGGAAACGAGUGGAUAUAAAUCUAGCCCGCGCGUGACGGGUGGGGCUUCAAGUCAUUUGUGCAAACGUGUUAACCCUUAGUUUUUCCUGAUCACUGUGACAAAAAAAA